rnacentral:rRNA from 1 species
GACGAACGCUGGCGGCGUGCUUAACACAUGCAAGUCGAACGGGCCUGUCUUCUUUUUUGGGGGUGGGUUGAGUGGCGAACGGGUGAGUAUCACGUGAGUAACCUGCCCUUCGGUCCUGGAUAACCGCUUGAAAGGGCGGCUAAUACGGGGUGGUCCGGUUGGUCCGCAUGGGCUGGUCGGGAUAGAUUCACUGUUUUUGGUGUUUCGGCGGGGGAUGGGCUCGCGGCCUAUCAGCUUGUUGGUGGGGUGAUGGCCUACCAAGGCGGUGACGGGUAGCCGGCCUGAGAGGGUGGGCGGCCACACUGGGACGGAGAUACGGCCCAGACUCCUGCGGGAGGCAGCAGUGGGGGGUAUUGCACAAUGGGCGGAAGCCUGAUGCAGCGACGUCGCGUGAGGGAUGGAGGCCUUCGGGUUGUGAACCUCUGUUUCCGGUGGUGAAGGCCCUGUCCGUGUGGUGGGGUUGACGGUAGCCGGGGAUGAAGCGCCGGCUAACUACGUG